rnacentral:rRNA from 1 species
ACGGAAGGCAGCAGUGGGGAAUAUUGGGCAAUGGGGGAAACCCUGACCCAGCAACGCCGCGUGAAGGAAGAAGGCCUUCGGGUUGUAAACUUCUUUUACCAGGGACGAUAAUGACGGUACCUGGAGAAAAAGCAACGGCUAACUACGUGCCAGCAGCCGCGGUAAUACGUAGGUUGCAAGCGUUGUCCGGAUUUACUGGGUGUAAAGGGCGUGUAGGCGGAGCUGCAAGUCAGAUGUGAAAUCCCGGGGCUCAACCCCGGAACUGCAUUUGAAACUGUAGCCCUUGAGUAUCGGAGAGGCAAGCGGAAUUCCUAGUGUAGCGGUGAAAUGCGUAGAUAUUAGGAGGAACACCAGUGGCGAAGGCGGCUUGCUGGACGACAACUGACGUUGAGGCUCGAAAGCGUGGGGAACAAACAGGAUUAGAUACCCUGGUA